rnacentral:rRNA from 1 species
AGCAGCCGCGGUAAUUCCAGCUCCAAUAGCGUAUAUUAAAGUUGUUGCAGUUAAAAAGCUCGUAGUUGAAUUUCGGGGUCAGUAGGUUGGUCGUGCCACUGGUAUGUACUGGCCUCACUGAUUCCCCCUUCUUGUAGAACCGUAAUGCCAUUAAUUUGGUGUUGCGGGGAAACAGGACUGUUACUUUGAAAAAAUUAGAGUGUUUAAAGCAGGCUAACACUUGAAUACAUUAGCAUGGAAUAAUGAAAUAGGACGUUCGAUCCUAUUUUGUUGGUUUCUAGGAUUGACGUAAUGAUUAAUAGGGAUAGUUGGGGGCAUUAGUAUUCAAUUGUCAGAGGUGAAAUUCUUGGAUUUAUUGAAGACUAACUACUGCGAAAGCAUUUGCCAAGGAUGUUUUCAUUAAUCAAGAACGAAAGUUAGGGGAUCGAAGACGAUCAGAUACCGUCGUAGUCUUAACCAUAAACUAUGCCGACUAGGGAUCGGAUGAUGUUAAUUUUUAAUGACUCAUUCGGCGCCUUAC